AGCUGCAAUGCAGCUAACUGGUAACUGAAGCUCUCCGCAAGGCUGGAGGGAAUUCUGUCUUGCUCUAGUAAGCAGCUAGAGUGGAGGCACAAGAUCUUCUUGACAAGAAGGAAGAACUGAAGGGGGUUCAGGAAAAGCAUGUCUUCCUGGAAAGUGAAAGCAAGUCAACCAGAGAUGUGUCUAGACGAAGAAAAAGCAGAGACAUGAUAUUCUCCCGGUGGUCUGAGCUAUCGGUCGCAGGCUCCAUCACUCCAAGCUCCACAGUAGAUGGGUCACUGAAUUCUUCAAUCAUGACCUUGGUGGGUUUACCUAAUCCUGCCUCUGACAGAAGGACCACAGAGAUGCCCAGUCUGGCACAAUC